rnacentral:rRNA from 1 species
AAUGAACGCUGGCGGCGUGCCUAACACAUGCAAGUCGGAUGUGCCGCAAGGUGCAUGGCAGACGGGUGAGUAACGCGUGGGGAACCUACCUCUUCGUGGGGAAUAACGAUCCGAAAGGAUUGGUAAUACCGCAUGAGACCGACGGCUGGGAUGCUGUCGGUGAAAGCUGGGGACCGGAAACGGCCUGGCGCGAGGAGAGGGUCCUGCGUCUGAUUAGCUAGUUGGUGGGGUAACGGCUUACCAAGGCAUCGAUCAGUAGCCGGCCUGAGAGGGUGAUCGGCCACACUGGAACUGAGACACGGUCCAGACUCCUACGGGAGGCAGCAGUGGGGAAUUUUGCGCAAUGGACGAAAGUCUGACGCAGCAACGCCGCGUGGGUGAUGAAGGUCUUCGGAUUGUAAAA